rnacentral:ncRNA from 2 species
AUGUAAGAUAGAGGUGCGUUUUUUAAGAGUAUGGACAAUGAGGAUUCUGGGGCCUAAUGAUUUGUUCUGAAAGGGAAAAACGCCGAAGGCAAUACUGCACCCCCGAGCAACGUAAUGCCUGGUUUCAAGGUCAAUAGCCUUGUGACUGUCAUCAUUUAUUAUGUGGUGGAGCGCUAUCUGUUUA